rnacentral:tRNA from 1 species
UCCUCGUUAGUGUAGUGGUGAGUAUCCCCACCUGUCAUGCGGGAGACCAGGGUUCAAUCCUGACAGGGAG